rnacentral:lncRNA from 1 species
AGCUGCCCAAAAGAAAAACCGCCUGGAAGUCCGAGGACCUUUAGUACUGUACUCUACCCCCGAACCAGCAGCCUUCGCGCCAAGCAAGACCGCCCUUGUCCCUUUCCUUUCUCCAUUCCGCCUCCUUCUUUGCUUUGUUCCAAUAGAGUCUAAGGCAAGGUGGUUCGUAUGCCUACUUUACCUACUUGACGAAAGGGAACGAACAACGUUUCAUUUCCGGGUUUGUGGAUUGGAUUCAGUCAGCCUCACGACAUAAUCAGAGUGAGGCUUUGGUUACCGGCAAACGCUUCUCCAAAGGCGACCCUCUCGAGUUUUCGGCUGUUUCCGUCAUUGAAGUAUUCGUCGCCCUACCAAACGAAAG